AGAGAGGGGUACCCACGGUGGAGGGAGGUGGGAGGCCGAGACGGCCCCGGGGGUCGGCGGAGACCCAGCGGGAGCAGGGGGAAAUCGGAAGAGCUGGGGGCAUGGAGCGGGCGAGUUUGGAGCGGAAUGAGCCGGGAGCCCUACGUUGUGGAAGGAAGACAACAGUAUAGGACCAUCAGCAGGACCGGACAGAGAGGGCCCUGGCUGUCCUGGAACUUGUAGACCAGGCUGGCCUUGAACUCAGAAAUCCGCCUGCCUCUGACUCCCGAGUGCUGAGAUUAAAGGUGUGCACCACCACACCCGACAAGGAAGCCUGUUUUAAGAAGUGAUUCCAUGGAGGAGUUCUGCGGCGGCUCAGGGCUUGACUAAACAGUGGACCUCAGGGUCCCAUUUCUCUCAGUAGACAAGAGAGGCUAAACCAGGCUGCAGGUGACAGGAAGAAUUGAAUAAACUGAAAGCAAAGGGCAGCCUUCUAAUUACGCUUCGUGGCUAUGUGGACAACCUGGAGAAGUCUGGAAACAAGCCAGAAGCCCGAAGCCAGCAGUAGAGCUCUGACUGGCUUGUAUGCCUAGAAAGGAAGGGCUCUUCUUUCGCCUCACGGGCACAAAUGGGACCCACGAGCGCCGAUUUCAGACUAUUCUGAUCCCUUCAAAAAGAAAGUUAGGAGUCCAGGCUACUGUGAGUGAAUUUGAUUCUAAUUGUUUCAGAGAAUAUGGAAUAAAAUAUCUCAUUUGCA
rnacentral:lncRNA from 1 species